rnacentral:rRNA from 1 species
GACAGAGGGUGCAAACGUUGUUCGGAAUUACUGGGCGUAAAGCGCGUGUAGGCGGCAGCGUGUGUCGGGCGUGAAAUCCCACGGCUCAACCGUGGAAGUGCACCCGAAACUGCGCAGCUAGAGUCCUGGAGAGGAAGGCGGAAUACUUGGUGUAGAGGUGAAAUUCGUAGAUAUCAAGUGGAAUACCGGUGGCGAAGGCGGCCUUCUGGACAGUGACUGACGCUGAGACGCGAAAGCGUGGGGAGCAAACAGG